CCUACGGGAGGCAGCAGUAAGGAAUAUUGGUCAAUGGACGAAAGUCUGAACCAGCCAUGCCGCGUGAAGGAUGACGGCCCUCUGGGUUGUAAACUUCUUUUAUCUGGGACGAAAAAACGGGAAUUCUUUCUCACUUGACGGUACCAGAGGAAUAAGCACCGGCUAACUCCGUGCCAGCAGCCGCGGUAAUACGGAGGGUGCAAGCGUUAUCCGGAUUCACUGGGUUUAAACGGGAGCGUAGGUGGGCAGGUAAGUCAGUGGUGAAAUCUCCGGGCUUAACCCGGAAACUGCCAUUGAUACUAUUUGUCUUGAAUUAUCUGGAGGUAAGCGGAAUAUGUCAUGUAGCGGUGAAAUGCUUAGAUAUGACAUAGAACACCCAUUGCGAAGGCAGCUUACUACGGAUAUAUUGACACUGAGGCUCGAAAGCGUGGGGAUCAAACAGGAUUAGAUACCCUGGUAGUCCACGCCCUAAACCGAUGGAUACUCGACAUCAGCGAUACACUGUUGGUGUUNUGAGACGAAGACAUAGUAUCCACCGUACGGAGUACGACGCGAGUAGAACGUACGAAGAGUAGUAGACGNGAGAGACGACGACGACGACGACGGAGGAGGAG
rnacentral:rRNA from 1 species